CCUACGUGAUGCUGCAGUGGGGAAUAUUGGACAAUGGGCGAAAGCCUGAUCCAGCCAUGCCGCGUGUGUGAAGAAGGCCUUCGGGUUGUAAAGCACUUUCAGUGGGGAAGAAAGCCUUGGGGCUAAUACCCUCGAGGAAGGACAUCACCCACAGAAGAAGCACCGGCUAACUCCGUGCCAGCAGCCGCGGUAAUACGGAGGGUGCGAGCGUUAAUCGGAAUUACUGGGCGUAAAGCGCGCGUAGGCGGUCUGAUAAGCCGGUUGUGAAAGCCCCGGGCUCAACCUGGGAACGGCAUCCGGAACUGUCAGGCUAGAGUGCAGGAGAGGAAGGUAGAAUUCCCGGUGUAGCGGUGAAAUGCGUAGAGAUCGGGAGGAAUACCAGUGGCGAAGGCGGCCUUCUGGACUGACACUGACGCUGAGGUGCGAAAGCGUGGGUAGCAAACAGGAUUAGAUACCCGGGUAGUC
rnacentral:rRNA from 1 species